rnacentral:ncRNA from 1 species
AACUGCUGGGGGUGCCAAAUUGGCUGAGAGAGCAUAAAAAUUGCUUAACCCUUUGAACUUGAUGUGGGUAAUACCAACGGAGGGAAGCAAU